AGAAGCAGGGGAUCGUAAGGCCUUGCGCUUUUGGAGCGGCCGAUGCCUGAUUAGCUAGUUGGUGGGGUAAAGGCCUACCAAGGCGACGAUCAGUAGUUGGUCUGAGAGGACGACCAGCCACACUGGGACUGAGACACGGCCCAGACUCCUACGGGAGGCAGCAGUGGGGAAUUUUGGACAAUGGGCGCAAGCCUGAUCCAGCAAUGCCGCGUGAGUGAAGAAGGCCUUCGGGUUGUAAAGCUCUUUCAGUCGAGAAGAAAAGGCUACGGUAAAUAAUCGUAGUUCAUGACGGUACCGACAGAAGAAGCACCGGCUAACUACGUGCCAGCAGCCGCGGUAAUACGUAGGGUGCGAGCGUUAAUCGGAAUUACUGGGCGUAAAGGGCGCGCAGGCGGCUUUGUGAGUCAGAUGUGAAAUCCCCGGGCUUAACCUGGGAAUUGCGUUUGAAACUACAAAGCUAGA
rnacentral:rRNA from 1 species